AUGACUUCUAGUAAAUUGUCAACCUUUUGCUUUCAUUUCCUCACUAACAGUGUAUUAUCAAUUCUCCUAGUUCCGCCCAAGAGUUUAAAGUCCAGCCAAUCGGGGCCUCUCAGAGAGUCUGUGACUGGUGUGAGGCGGUCCUACACAGAGGAGCUACUGGAUAUGGGGAUAAACUUUGGAGUGCCAGGUGGAGUCCAGUUUCCAUUCUCCUCCACCAACCCCUUCAUCACUACUGCCUCUGCUCCAAAUAACACUCCUGUUAGUUCUGAGGACAUGAACAACCUAUUCAAGAGCCUACAGCUGGAAAAUGUUGUCAAUGUGUACCAGCUUGGUACUAAAGAAAGAGGUGAGUGGAAAACUGAAUCCCUAAAGUGUUAAAAAAUUUGAUGAAUUGAGGUUUGAUUCACAUGGCUGGGGGACUGGUCCGGUGGCAGCCGGCUCACCAAGAGGUAUUGAGGUAUUCAGCUACACCAGAGUGUAGCAAUUCGCCUACAGUCAAUAUUCCCUCUAAGCUGUUCAUGCGCAGCUUUGCAGCUCCUCCAGGAGUUCCGCACAGAAAAAAUGCCAAUCUGCACAGAGAUGCACAAGAAUAAACUUCACUGAACUUUUUGCCCAUUUUUUUUUUUUUAUCAAAUCAAAUUUUCCCCUUUUAAUGUGGGAUUUGUGAUCGAAUCAAAAAAAGAUCAGCAACAGGCCAAACCAAAUUCAUCCAAUAUUUAGUCUGUUUUAAAGGGGCAGUGCUGUAUUCUGAGACUUGACUAUGCUAAGAAGCCAAUAGGCAGAUGGGUAGCCUACAUUUCAUUCACCUAUUUGGCCCAUUGUGUUUGACCUUUUUUUGUUUGUGUUUUUUGGACAACAAUUUAAAAAGCUUAAUGUCAAGCCCUGCAUAAUGUUUUUAAGUCCUACAUUGAGCAGCAUAUAUUGGCUACUGCCUGGAUCAUAGAAAUCAAUAGCUUGUGAAAAUGUUUUGGGAUGCAUUUGCUCCAUUGGUUUUGUUGGUAAGCCACUCUGAGAGUGUAGAUUGAAACUAUGAAACAUGAAACUAAAACAAAUUCACCUGGCAAAUUUUUGGUCUGGAGUGGAAACUUUGAGCAUUCUGUGCAACUUCCGGUACGCAUUUACAUUGAACACUGAGGCUGUACCCACUUUAUGUUUUAACCAGUGUGCAAGUUUAUUUUGAGCAUAACAUCUCCACUGACUCAAACUCAGUUGAGAACACAUUUGCGACAUGUUGUACACAUACAUACAGAGUACACUUGUUACUUGUCUACACAGAAUGAAAACCAGAAGUGUUUCGGCCCUUGCAGGGCACUGAAUAAAAUAAUUAAAUGAAAUGACGCUUAUCUUUCCCAUUCAUUUGUGAAUAACUGCCCACCG
rnacentral:lncRNA from 13 species